rnacentral:rRNA from 1 species
CGGACGGGUGAGUAACGCGUGGAAAACCUGCCGUAUACUGGGGGAAUAACACUUAGAAAUAGGUGCUAAUACCGCAUAAGCGCACAGCUUCGCAUGAAGCGGUGUGAAAAACUCUGGUGGUAUACGAUGGUUCCGCGUCUGAUUAGCUAGUUGGUGGGGUAAUGGCCUACCAAGGCAACGAUCAGUAGCCGGCCUGAGAGGGUGAACGGCCACAUUGGGACUGAGACACGGCCCAAACUCCUACGGGAGGCAGCAG